rnacentral:lncRNA from 1 species
AUCGCUUUUCAAAUAAGCAAUUAUUGUUUAAAAUACCUUAAGCUUUAAGUCAUUCCCUUGCUAAAAUGAUUUAACUCAUUACGAGCUAUCACAACAAAAUUUGCUAAACCAAUAAUUGAAAAGUAUAAAAAUGAGAAAAAUAUAUAAAUAUAAAAAGUUCGAUGAUAAACUAUGAAAAAAAAAAAAAUUAAAGAAACAAUAUCAUAGUUUUCAAAAUGGUUGAGCAGGGAGGGCCCAACAAAUUAACACAAAAAGACAACGUCACACUCAAC